AGGGACCUCAGCUUCAUGCGGAUGACCCUGAGCUUGUACUUGGGGCUGACCACAGAUCCGGUGGAGAACACCAAGGAAAUCUCAGCCACUUCACGCAGAUCUUGAUCAAAUCUCGCCAGCAGACUCACUUGGUGAUACUUCUGAAAUGUGGCCGGUUCACUAGGAAGCAAUGACACAUGAGGUGAGUACAGAGAGCCCAGGAGAGAAAGCAGUUCUGAGGCCUGCAAGUCACUGAUAGGCAGGUGACCGCUUGGCCCCACUGCCGCACUGGCUGGCUCUCAGGAGCACCCCCUGACUUCCGAAGGGCAGCCUGAGGAAAGGUACUGCCCUCAAAAUGCACCUACUGUGUGUGGGGGUCUGCUCAUCCCCGUACACAGCUGCCCAUUGCCCUGCCAUUCCGAGCGGUGGGCACUGCUUUCCUGCUCUGCAGACAGAACAGCUGCAGAGCUCAAACUCCCCUGGAUGGAGAUUGUGUGUGGCGCUGUGGGGAUGCAGGCCCAGAAGUUCAAAGUCACAGUCUUUCCAUUGAACUGCGUUGCUAGUGCCAUAGGGAUAUUUCUAGCCAAACUCUGUACUAAUAGAGAAGUUAGUCUUUGUUCCAUCUUCCCUCACAAGAUGAACCACAAAACAGCUGAAUUUCAGUUCUAAUACGUUACCCAAGUGUGUGGGCAUGUUUCCUACCGUCACAACCCCAUGGGCCUAAGGUACACAGAGUCUCCUGGAGAGGUUCAGCAUGACUUGUCCUUGUGGGGAGCUUGGAGAGGAGGGCACCGAGAACUGAGGGGCCCCUGGGUUCAGGAACAGAUAGGCCUGUAUACACUGGAGUACUACUGUGCCAUAAAGGAUGAAUUUGAGUCAUUUGUAGGAAAAUGGAUAUACCUUGAGACCAUAAUGGUAAGUUAAAAAAAGAUACACAAGCUUAAAUAUCACAUGGUUUCUCUUAUCUGAGGAACCCAAAGUAUAAGUAAGUUAAAGAGCGAAAUAGAAGAUAAGAGGAAACAAGGAGAUACAUCUUUUGCAAAAGGGAAGGAGAACAGGAGAUGGAGGGCAGGGAGGGAAAAGACAGGAAGCAGAUGAAGAAAGAAUGAAGACGUGUCAUGUAGUAUACCAGCUCCCCACAAGGAAGAUAAUCGUGUAUGUACUGCAAACAUGAGCUCAUAAAAAUUUUUUUUUAAAAAAGGAACAGUGGCUUGCUCCAUACAGGAUCCUUAAUUUUGAAGUGGGGCAGAUGUGAACAGGUGUCUCACCCCAGCCCCCCAUCCUGUCCGGUCCUGUGGAGAGCAGAAGUGCCACAGAUAAGAUUAAUCUGAAAGGGGCCCGGGUUUUGGUUUUUAAGACCAGAAGGAAGUGCCCAGAGAAGGACAGAAAUGUCCCAAUGACAGAAUCACCUGCACCCAUUGGCAUGGCUGGUGUUGGUGAGGAUUCGAGAGACUGGAGCCCUUGGGAGAAGUCCCCUUCAGGCUGGGAGUGUGGCUCCAUGGGGACGCGCUUGCCUAGAGCGCAGGCUUACCAUGAACAAGGCCCUGGAUUCGACCCCAGCACCAAAAGAAAAAGAAGUCACUUCUAAGCCAUCCACAAACACGGCUCUUUAUCCACCCAGGGAGCCCCUGAUGUGAUUGCCAGUUUCAGAUGCCACUCUGUCAUUCUUCUGCGGAUGUGGCCAACACAAAACCUCAGUGUCUGGAAGCCAGCCAAACUCAGGAAACGUUUGCAAGUAAAGGAACAAAAUGAACCUCAAAUUCCUUUGUUUCAAAGGUUCCCUCACCCCUUUUCUUGCUUAUAGAAGUGAUAGAUAAAAACUGUUUUUGUUUUUGAGACAGGGUCUCGCUAUGCGGUUCAGGCUGGCUUUGGCUGGCCUGUAGGCCAGGCUGGCCUCCAACUCACACCAAUCCUCCUGCCUCAGCCUCCCAAGUACUGGGAUUACAGGUGUGUGCCACUGUGCCUGGCUCUAAUUAUUUUACAAUUUAAAAUACAGCCAUAAUAAAAGAUUGCAAACUAAAAAGAAGCUGAAAAAAAAAAGCAUUCCUAUGCCCCACAACCCUAAAUGGCAAUCUAAAAUUUGGCAUGUUUCUUUUUCUUUUUUUCACACUGUUGAGCUAAUUUUAUAAUUCUUAGUGCCUGUAUCUAGAUGUCCCCCUAAAGCUUCAUGUGCUUAUGGGUGGAGCUUUCAAGAGAUGGCUGAAUCAUGUGUGUGUGAUGGAUUACGGUGUGUGAUACUGGGAUUAAGAGUGUGUGAUAAAUAAAUUGGUGUGGCAUACUUCUAGGUGUGGAUAAUAGAAGGCCCUGUCUGGGUGUUGGUGGCACCAAUCAAGAGGUCUGUAACCUGAAUGGAACAUAAAGGGACAGAAGGAAGGAAGGCUGCUGCUUUGCUGCUUGCUGCCUCCUGCCUACCCUGCCAUGGACUGUUUCUGCUGUGAUGCUCCUCUGCCAUGCCACCCUGCCUUGGAACCAGCCAACUAUGAACUGAAACCUCUACAAAUUUUCCCACUCCAGCUCUUCUCUCAGACAUCUGGCUGUGGCAGACACCCACCCAUGACUGUCACUCCAGCCCACAUGGCACGUACACAAUCCCAGAUGUGAAAUCGGCCUCAGGAGAGACAGAAGGGCCUGGACGAGCCACAGAGAGCUGGGAGCUAAGGGAGGCCGGAGUCGCUCCAUGGGGACAAAUGCGACACUUCAGCUUAUCUCUCUGCGAAAGGAAAUCAUGAGAACCAGAAAAGCACCCAACAAAGCCAGUUGCACAUACGGAAAUCUGUCCACAGUGUGCAGACCUGCCUUCCUUCAUUGGGCAAGGUGGUAACUUUACAAAUUAGAAGGAAGGAUGGGAAAAUCAUGCUCCCAGCAGCGCCAUCAUGUGGCGGGGGGCGCUGCAUGACACCAGCUUCCCUCCGGGAUUUCUGUGGGUUUGGAGCCCUGCCGGUGGGAGGGCGGGCCUCUGGAGAAACCUGCUCUGUCCCUGCCUGAGGAUUCCCCAGGGAGCCUUGGAGUGUUACCGUCCGUGUCCGAGUGGAUGACGUCCACGAACAGGGCGUCGCUGGGAUCUAAUCUGUCCUCCGAAGGUCUCCCGUUGAAUGAAGGGCCCGCAGGGUCAAGACCUGGAAGGAAGACAGCGUGGUUUGACAGCCCCAUGCCAUGAGUCACCCCGCCCGGCCUCUGAUCCCUCCCGGUGAGGACGCUCCCAGCCGCAGGGCCCUCAGCGGGGCGCGCACCCCAUUCCCAUCCUGCUUCAUCGGGCUCCUUUGCACAGCCUGCAGCUCUUUCCCACAGUGGAGACGCUACCCUGGCGGUGCCCCUGAGAGCCGCAUCCUGACUCCGCGAGGAGGCACGGCGGGUGGAGCUGGGCCGUGCACACGUGUGUGGGUCAGAGGACAAGAUGAACCGGUUCCUUAGUGAAAAAGCACCACAGAGUACAUAAAAGAGAAAAAGCCCAUACCAUGUACUCGUUAUCCUAUUUUAGAUGCUUCUGUUCCCCACUCCGCCCUUCCUUCUUGCUAUUAAUAAAACUCCUUUACAGUUUCCA